AGACAGCCUCAGGUAUUUGGUGCCUAUCAGGGAAAGUGAGAGCCCUGCAAUGCUAGAGGGCAUCAAACUGGGCUCUGGUUCUGAAUGGUUGUGCUGAGAUGUCCUCCUCCUGCUUUCACCACAUGGAGCCUCACAUGGCUGAUUGGGCAGGCUCGUUGAGCUGUCCUGCUUGCUUCAAAGUGCAGUGUGCAGAUGGCUGCUUUCUGAUCAUGGAGUGAGAUUCUAGUGGCUUGAAUUUUGUCUGGACAGAGAAAAUGGACAAGGUUCCAGGAACAUUAAUUGAUUUUUGGAAGGACCUGAUGCUGAGGACCCAGUGUUCACACUACGGGCAUUUCAAGGAGGUCUGCUUUCAUCUAGCUCUACUCUCUUCUCUUGGACAGAAAUGCCAUUAGCAGUAGAAGACCACCUUCUGGUUUAGCUUCAUCGAUAAGGAGAGUGGUGUGCAUGGUUCAAUAUCACCCAGUGAAUCAAAGCGUGGUUAACUGGAGCCCAUCAGGAGAUUUACUCCAAAAACAGACUCUUGGUCUGAAUGAAGAUAUUCCUGUAAUGCACCUUGAUAUUUCUU
rnacentral:lncRNA from 1 species